rnacentral:rRNA from 1 species
GAUGAACGCUGGCAGCGUGCCUAAUACAUGCAAGUCGAGCGAACAGACGAGGAGCUUGCUCCUCUGACGUUAGCGGCGGACGGGUGAGUAACACGUGGAUAACCUACCUAUAAGACUGGGAUAACUUCGGGAAACCGGAGCUAAUACCGGAUAAUAUAUUGAACCGCAUGGUUCGAUAGUGAAAGACGGUUUUGCUGUCACUUAUAGAUGGAUCCGCGCCGCAUUAGCUAGUUGGUAAGGUAACGGCUUACCAAGGCAACGAUGCGUAGCCGACCUGAGAGGGUGAUCGGCCACACUGGAACUGAGACACGGUCCAGACUCCUACGGGAGGCAGCAGUAGGGAAUCUUCCGCAAUGGGCGAAAGCCUGACGGAGCAACGCCGCGUGAGUGAUGAAGGUCUUCGGAUCGUAAAACUCUGUUAUUAGGGAAGAACAAAUGUGUAAGUAACUAUGCACGUCUUGACGGUACCUAAUCAGAAAGCCACGGCUAACUACGUG